CCAAGGAGUCUAACAUGUAUGCGAGUCAUUGGGAAUGAAAACCCAAAGGCAUAAUGAAAGUAAAGAAUUCGAUUGCGAAUUUGAGGAGAGAUCAUGGCACUUGUUGGUAUGCCGUAAGGUUAUUGCUGGCAAGUGUGUGCGCAUCUCCUGGACGUCUAUACCCUUGAGGGUUGGGCGUACCAAGAGCAUACACGUUGGGACCCGAAAGAUGGUGAACUAUGCCUGGUCAGAACGAAGUCAGGGGAAACUCUGAUGGAGGUUCGUAGCGAUUCUGACGUGCAAAUCGAUCGUCGGAACUGGGUAUAGGGGCGAAAGACUAAUCGAACCAUCUA
rnacentral:rRNA from 1 species